AUUGAACGCUGGCGGUAUGCUUAACACAUGCAAGUCGAACGAUGAGAAAGAGCUUGCUCUUUCGAUUAGUGGCGGACGGGUGCGUAACGCGUAGGAAUCUACCUAUUAGUGGGGGACAACUUAGGGAAACUUAAGCUAAUACCGCAUACGCCCUACGGGGGAAAGAAGGGGAUCGCAAGACCUUUUGCUAAUAGAUGAGCCUGCGUAGGAUUAGCUAGUUGGUGGGGUAAAUGCCCACCAAGGCGACGAUCCUUAACUGGUUCGAGAGAAUGAUCAGGCACACUGGAACUGAGACACGGUCCAGACUCCUACGGGAGGCAGCAGUGGGGAAUAUUGGACAAUGGGCGAAAGCCUGAUCCAGCAAUACCGCGUGUGUGAAGAAGGCCUUAGGGUUGUAAAGCACUUUCAAUUGGAAGGAAAACCUCGAAGCUAAUACCUUCGAGUUUGACAUUACCUUUAGAAGAAGCACCGGCUAACUCCGUGCCAGCCGCCGCCGUAA
rnacentral:rRNA from 1 species